GACGGAGGAAGCAAACGUUAUCCGGAAUGAUUGGGCGUAAAGCGUUCGCAGGUGGCUAUUCAAGUCUGCUGUCAAAGACCGGGGCUUAACCCCAGAGAGGCAGUGGAAACUGAAUGGCUGGAGGGCAGAUCGGGUAGAGGGAAUUCCCAGUGUAGCGGUGAAAUGCGUAGAGAUUGGGAAGAACACCGGUGGCGAAAGCGCUCUGCUGGACUGCAACUGACACUGAGGGACGAAAGCUAGGGGAGCGAAAGGG
rnacentral:rRNA from 1 species